GAUGGGAGAGUCUGGAAGAAGAUAUGGAGCAGUGACCCCCAAGAGUGCCCAAGCUGACCUGGGUGGAUGAGGAGGAGGAGGUCGAGGAAGAGGAAGAAGGCCCUGGAGCUGCCCCAGCACCAGAGACCGAAGAGGUGCAGCAGUUGCAGCCGCUGGAGGAGGAUGCAGCCAUGGACGGCACACAAGAGCAGGACACCGCCCGUGGCCGCUUCCGCAGAGCAGCGCAGUUUCUUUACCAAUACAUCAAGAGAAUUGGCAAGGAAGACACCAGACCUAUGGACACUGAGGUCAAGACAUCCUCAGAGGUCUUGGUAGAACAGAGCAGCGCUGCCCAGCUGGAUCUGCUUGUAGAGACGGCUCUUUUCAAUCCAGAGCAAGUGCCCGGCGUGGUGAGGUACAUCCACCAGUGGCUCAUGGCCAAUGAGGCUGCUGAGCACAGGAUGGACUGGGCCCUGAUGCAAGUGGCCGAGGCAGAGCCCGAUGAUGUGGCCAUCACUCUCCUGCGGGUGGCCCCAACGUGUGACAGAGCUGCUAUGGCCAUGUGGACGACCAUCUUGCUCUCGCCCUGGAUUUCAGAGGAAGUGACACCGCUCCUCAUCAAUGUGGUGGGGAGCUGGCCGCAGAAAAACCUGGGCACCUCUGAUGGGGACAAGACGGCUGUCUUUUCCCUGACUGCAACUCUGGUGAUGUGGAAGAUCCUCCAGGGGCCUUGUUGCCCACAGAUCCUCACAGUCUAUUUCCCCCGCCUCUUUGUGCAUCUCCUCUUCCAAACGUACUUCAGUACUUUGUAUAUGACAGAGGACAUCCAUACCUUCUGGAAGGAAUGCCAGGAGCAACACGGCCUCUCCACCAGCCCCAACAGGUGCUCCAUGCCCCUCCUCCUGU
rnacentral:lncRNA from 1 species